rnacentral:misc_RNA from 1 species
CAAUGGUGGAAGUGUCCCUGCCUUUAGACAGGUAAAUAACUCUUCCUUAGAGCCAAACCACAAGGAUGAGUUGUUGGACAUCAUGGGAAAAAUCAUUGACGCUUUGCAUCAGCACUACAUCAAGCAAAGAAUUUGAUAAUCGGUCUUUUCAGAGAUCCAUUUGCACCCUUCAGGCUUAUCUUCUAUAUCGCAUCCCGCGAGCUAUUACCUCACUAGAUAAUUGGUUUCAGGAUGCGAGUUAUUACCUUACUAGAUAAUUGGUUCCAUACUAUAUCAGAAAUACGAAGCACACACAGACGCAGAAAACUUUCAAAGCACACCUCCAACACUCGCAACUACUAAAAAUACACAUGCAGCCAAGCUAUCAGGUUGUUCAAGUCCAAUUGAAAUUCCUCACCGAUGUAUGCUCUAGGUCAGCAAAAGCACCAAAAAUUCAUAUUUACACUAACCCAAAAAGGGAUGGGGACGAUUUACUAUGGGGCUGAGGAGGAGGCCCCCCUAGCUUUAAAG